CUGUCUCUUUCCCCUGCUCUCUGCCAAGGGAGCUAAGGCUCCCUGGUCCUUGGAAAGUGGCCAGACUCUUUCCUGGGGACGAAUUCACCUAGUUGUGUCUCCGGGGCUGCGCUGGGAGUGCGGAGCCGUGCCUAAGACCUGGGCAGGAUGGAGCAGGGGCUCUGGCUAGCAGGGUGUGCAGUCUAUCCGAGGUCAUGGUGCAUGGAAAGAAUAAUCAGCUCGUGGCAGGGACCGGGACUCCCCGACCAGGGUUCCAGACGGACUCAGGAGAAACGCCGCCAGGACUAAAGUCAGGCAGGACCAGGAUUGUGCAACCCACUUCAGAAACGGGAGCUGUUUGUGCAAUGAAAUCCAACACUGCCUAGAAUUUUCUGACAAUGGGAAAGAGCCCUGUUUGGGAAGCCAGCAACAAGCGAUAAAGAAAGCAAAGCAUAUAUGGAGAUAAUUAUUAGCAUUUCAUCCUCAGACCUGGACCGCUUGAGGAAGGAAGGGAUUUUGCACCCAGUGCCCCCAGAAAUCGGAAAGGCUGCACCAAAAGAGACACUCAACAGAACAAAAGGAAAAAGUGACGGCAUUUGUUAGAGCACCACUAGACGCAGAAAUGAGCCCAGAGGAUUCUAAUCAGAGCCUGUUCAUUUUGUCCCAAUUAAGAUAUUUUUAUUCACUGUGCAUUAAAAAACCAUCUGUGUUUUAACAUUG